rnacentral:rRNA from 1 species
UACGUAGGGUGCAAGCGUUAAUCGGAAUUACUGGGCGUAAAGCGCGCGCAGGCGGCUGUUUAAGUCUGGUGUUUAAUCCUGGGGCUCAACCCCGGGUCGCACUGGAAACUGGACGGCUUGAGUGCAGAAGAGGAGAGUGGAAUUCCACGUGUAGCGGUGAAAUGCGUAGAGAUGUGGAGGAACACCAGUGGCGAAGGCGACUCUCUGGGCUGUAACUGACGCUGAGGCGCGAAAGCGUGGGGAGCAAACAGG